GACGAACGCUGGCGGCGUGCCUAAUACAUGCAAGUAGAACGCUGAAGGAGGAGCUUGCUUCUCUGGAUGAGUUGCGAACGGGUGAGUAACGCGUAGGUAACCUGCCUGGUAGCGGGGGAUAACUAUUGGAAACGAUAGCUAAUACCGCAUAAUAGCAGUUGUUGCGUGACAACCGUUAGAAAGGUGCAAUUGUACCACUACUAGAUGGACCUGCGUUGUAUUAGCUAGUUGGUGGGGUAACGGCUCACCAAGGCGACGAUACAUAGCCGGCCAGGGAGGGGGGUCGGCCACACUGGGACUGGGACCCGGCCCAGGCUCCUUCGGGGGGCAGCAGUAGGGGAUCGUCGGCAAUAGACGGAAGUCUGACCGGAGCACGCCGCGUGGGUGGAGGAGGUUCUCGGGUCGUAAAGCUCUGUUGUAAGGGGAGAACGAGUGUGGGAGUGGAAAGUUCACACUGUGACGGUAUCUUACCAGAAAGGGACGGCUAACUACGUG
rnacentral:rRNA from 1 species